AGGCUAAUACRUGAACUAGACCCCUGGUCGACCGGUUUAUUUGGAAGGNUGGGGGACGUGCGAUUGUGGCUUGGUAUUUCCAGGAAAGGGCGCACGUUCAGACCACCAUCUAAARGAAGGCUCUCACGGGCUGACCGGUGGCUCUUGCUGUGUGCUUUUGACCUAUCAACUAGACGGCAGCGUAAGGGACAUGCUAUGGUGACAA
rnacentral:rRNA from 1 species